ACCUACGGGGGGCAGCAGUAGGGAAUUUUCGUCAAUGGGCGCAAGCCUGAACGAGCAAUGCCGCGUGAACGAGGGAGGUCUUCGGAUCGUAAAGUUCUGUUGAAGGGGAAAAAGAGCGGAGAGAGGAAAUGGUCUCCGAUUGAUAUUACCCUUCGAGGAAGUCACGGCUAACUACGUGCCAGCAGCCGCGGUAAUACGUAGGUGGCGAGCGUUAUCCGGAAUGAUUGGGCGUAAAGGGUGCGUAGGCGGCCUGCUAAGUCUGGAGUGAAAGGUACCGGCUCAACCGGUACAGGCUCUGGAAACUG
rnacentral:rRNA from 1 species